rnacentral:lncRNA from 1 species
CCGUAGCACACAUAACCAACACCUCACAUGGCGUAUUCACGAUGUUGAGGUAUUGACAUACAAUCACAUUUAUCAAUAUACAGCAAGUAGGUAAUUUGGUGUUGAAUGCCAGUAGGUCAGAAUUUGUUAAUUGAAUUUUACCUGUAAAAGGGUCACUAGCUGUCAAAUUCAUGUUCAUCGAUUUUAAUCAAAUUCACAUAACGUGUGGUGUUGAAUUGUUUAUUAAAAUUCCACGCACAAUCUUGGCUGAUAUGCAUAAAACCAUUAUUUCAUGAACCUGCAUGAAAUAUUGACUUAUCACAGAACUAAAAAAAUAAACCACCGAAAGUCCACAUAAAAGGGUAUGGUGGAUGUAAAUUAACAGAAUAGAGAAUAACGGGC